rnacentral:lncRNA from 10 species
UGGGGAGCUUCCAGGUUGCUGAACACAUGGAGGUUUCUGAUGGGCGGAGCACCCAGGGAAGGCUUGGAAGCUCCGCGACCCUUCCCCCAUACCUCGCCCUCUGCAUCUCUUCAUCUGUAUCUUUUGUAAUAUCCUUUAUAAUAAACUGGUAAAUGUGUUUCCCUGAGUUCUGUGAGCCACUGUAGCAAAUAACAGAACCCAAAGAGGGAGUCAUGGGAAUCUCAACUUGAAGCCAGUCGAUCAGAACUUCCGGAAGCCCAGACUUGAGACCGGGCUUAAUAUACACAAGGCCAUAGAGCUAGACCCAGGCCAUGGAGGAGCAUGGAGGACCGCAAUUCUAAAAGCUUUGCCAGCUUAAAAGUAAGUGCAUCCAGGAAGCAGCUGAAACUUCACGCAGAUUUGUGGAUAUAGACAUGAAGGGAAUAUGGCUUCCUUUGUAGUGAGUUCUGUCUGCAGAUGGACACUCAAACCAUGAAAAGCUCAGCCUACGCCGGGCAGUCGACAUCGUGGCUCCGGCCAGCAAUUCUUCCACUAGAUUUAAUGAGAGCGUGGAAGUCCCUGAACAACCUGAAGGCACAUUUGAGGAGAAGCACACACUCAGUCAGGGAAUGGAGCCAGAAUUUCAUCUGCUUGAGAUGGAAGUGAAGAAAUUUCUGGAGACUGGAGUGGAUUAUAGGAGAAAGUACCAGGGUUUAGCCUGUGCUUAAAAUGGAAAUUCCUCGCAUUCUCAUUUCAGCUUCUCUGAGGGAGGAAGGGCAUUCCUGAAACACAGCUGAGUAUGUAACAGGCCACGAACCUUGGUGACAACCAGAAUAUCUGCCUGCCUCACAGGAUCAAGUCCAAGCCCCAAACCUGCCAUUCAGGGACCUCAAUUCUGCAUCCUACCUACUGCUUCAGCUGAGGCUCCUGCGUGCGGUGCCUGGAACACGAGCAGCAGGGGCUGCCUCCGCACACCGGCGCGCGCACACCCGGUGUCUUUGCUCAUGCAGUCCUGGGGCCUAGGACGCCUCCUCCUGCUCUUCCUUGCCUUGCUCAUAUCUGCUCAUUCUUCAAUUCUUGGCUGGUAUCAUCUCUUCCAGGAAGCCUCCUCCUCCGGGUCUGUGUGCCCUGAUAGCUUGCUUCCUCUAUGUUAUUUUAUUAAAAAGAUCGGUUUAUGUGUAUAUCUCUAAACUUUACAAGCUAAGUUUUUGUGUGUUUGUGUUUUAUUUAUUCUUUUUGAGACGGAGUCUCACUGUGUCACCCAGGCCGAAGUGCAAUGGUGCAAUCUUGGCUCACUGCAACCUCCACCUCCUGGGUUCAACCAAUUCUUGUGUCUCGGCCUCCCGAGUAGCUGGGAUCACAGGUGCCUGCCACCACACCUAGCUAUUUUUUUUUUGUAUUUUUACUAGAGACAGGGUUUCACCAUGUUAGUCAGGCUGGUCCUGAAUUCUUGAACUCAAGCGAUCUGCCAGCCUCGGCCUCCCAAAGUGCUGGGAUUACAGGCGUGAGUCACCACGCCCGGCCUACAAGCUAAGUUUUAAUUCAGCAAAUAUUUUUUGUCCGGGCUCUCUUCUGGGAUUGGAGCCUAGACGGUCAAGGUCCCUGAUCUCACCGGCUUAUGUUCUAAAGAGCGACAGAUGGGGAACAUGUAAAUGAACAAAUUAAGCAAUGAUCUGGGAAGGA